rnacentral:lncRNA from 1 species
UAUAGUAAUUCCAACAAUAGAAUACUUCAGACAUUUAAACUAAGUGUUACAAUGGCAACCAGUGAUCCUAAAUUCAUUCAGGUACUUAAACCAAAAGCUAAACAACGAAAUCUUAACAUGAAUCUAAUCGUGGACUAAACAUCAUUACUAACCUAGGCAAAUUUAAACAAAUUCCAACAGGGAAAGGUUCCUCGUCUAAAUUAAAUUCAUGUUGUAACAGUCCAAAAUCAAAUAACGACAGAAAAAGUUCAACCCAGCUAAAACAAAAAUGACAAGUCUAAAGUCCAAAUACAAUCCCAAGAUGUACUUUCAACAGCAUGAAUAAACAUAGUAGAUCAUAUAAUGAAACUAAUGUAUUGCAGAAAUCAGAGGUAGAUUCUAAAUAACAUCAGCUGAUAUUAAUGCUUAAGCCUCCACAUUCGAUUACAUGCUUCAAGUUUGAGCAUCACAUUCAAUAAGGUCCAAGAGGUACCUGGAAGUAAACAUAAAGCAAAAGAUGAGGAUUUCAACAGUAAGCAAUAGCUCAACGAAUCAACACAGCCACUUUUAGCUUCCUUAAACCAUUUUUAAAAUCCCAGACAGUUCAGAAAUCCUUUGAAACUCUUUAACUAUUGCUAACAGUGAAAUCAAAGACCAAUUCCCAGUAAUUUUUGACCCAAAAUGAUGAAGAAUUUUUUUUUCAGUGUAUGAAUGGCUGCCCAAAAAAUAAAGGGAAAGAGGUCUUUAUAUAGGCAUGUCUAAGGUAGCCCUAGCCUAGCUAACCAUGUCCACUUUUUACCCCUUUAAUUCUUGGUUAUUUUAUCCUUUUUAACCCUCUAAAAUAUCUGAAACCCCCUGUUCUUAACAAACCAGCCCUAGCCUUAUCCUCUAGAAGCUUCCCCCAACAGAAAAAUAUUCCCUCAACCCCCAAAUACCCAAAACAGCCCUCGACACCUCUGUAUUUACCUUCAGAAAAUCAAACCUGGAUCAAAUUAACCCAAGACCCAACCCAAACCCAUGGGCUUGCGUAUUAACAGCCCAAACUGAAUUUCAGACCAUCAAAAUAAGCAUUGAAGCUCAAAUUGUGACCCAGGCUGGCUAAGGCCAAAUGAAAAAAAAGGAAGGAGAAGGAAGGAACCGGGUCACAGAGAACACAAGUAAUUUAAACCAAAAACACUUAAGCAAUUUUUAAGCAAUAAUUCGAACCCUAUAGACUAAACCGGAUGAAACUAAACAAAUGAGUAAAAAAACGAAUAAACGCGAAUAAGAAACAAAAAGACUCUAAUGCAAUUAACCACAAUAGAUUAUUAAUAUAUAUUUUUCAAAACGAACUAGGUUAAACAAAAACCCAACUGAAAUAGGAAGAGAAGAAAUGAACAUGCAAUCAAAAGGGAAAAGCUUAUUGUAUUUACCGGAGACGGAUGAGUGAUUCGAUGAAAGGCAUCGUUUGAAAAAGUUUGCUAGAAUCCAGUGAGCUUCGAAAUGAAUUGAAAUCGAUGCUAAUCGAUUAUUCUUUAGGGAGAACAAUCAAUUGGCAUAAGUUCGAUCCAUUAUCAGCCAAGAAAACCCCUUAAAACUCUGAAAAGGGAACAAGAUUAGGGUUUUCGAAUUUUUGGCGCAGAUAUGGGAUUUGGAGAAACGAGUGGGGAUUUUGGGGAAAUUUGUGUUGGAUUAAUAUUCAAGGGAGUGUGGGGAUUGUGGAGGAGGAAUUUGGAAGAGAUUGGGUGGUCCGCCGCCGGCCGGUGAGGGUUUGGGGAUUUGGGGACAGCUAGGUUCGAUUAGGGUUUGGUUAGAGACGGACUGGGGUGG